rnacentral:rRNA from 1 species
CCUACGGGAGGCUGCAGUGGGGGAUAUUGCACAAUGGGGGAAACCCUGAUGCAGCGACGCCGCGUGGGUGAAGAAGCGCCUCGGCGCGUAAAGCCCUGUCAGCAGGGAAGAAAAUGACGGUACCUGAAGAAGAAGCCCCGGCUAACUACGUGCCAGCAGCCGCGGGAAUACGUAGGGGGCCAGCGUUAUCCGGAUUUACUGGGGGUAAAGGGGGCGCAGACGGCGAUGCAAGCCAGGAGUGAAAGCACGGGGGCCAACCCCGGGACUGCUGUUGGAACUGCGUGGCUAGAGUGCAGGAGGGGCAGGCGGAAUUCCUGGUGUAGCGGUGAAAUGCGUAGAUAUGAGGAGGAACACCGGUGGCGAAGGCGGCCUGCUGGGCUGCAACUGACGUUGAGGCCCGAAAGCGUGGGGAGCAAACAGGAUUAGAUACCCUUGUAGUC